AUUGAACGCUGGCGGCAUGCUUUACACAUGCAAGUCGAACGGUAACAGGCCGCAAGGUGCUGACGAGUGGCGAACGGGCGAGUAAUGCAUCGGAACGUGCCCAGUCGUGGGGGAUAACUACUCGUAAGAGUAGCUAAUACCGCAUACGAUCUAUGGAUGAAAGCGGGGGACCGUAAGGCCUCGCGCGAUUGGAGCGGCCGAUGUCAGAUUAGGUAGUUGGUGGGGUAAAGGCUCACCAAGCCAACGAUCUGUAGCUGGUCUGAGAGGACGACCAGCCACACUGGGACUGAGACACGGCCCAGACUCCUACGGGAGGCAGCAGUGGGGAAUUUUGGACAAUGGGCGCAAGCCUGAUCCAGCAAUGCCGCGUGCAGGAAGAAGGCCUUCGGGUUGUAAACUGCUUUUGUACGGAACGAAACGGCUCUGGUUAAUACCCGGGGCUAAUGACGGUACCGUAAGAAUAAGCACCGGCUAACUACGUG
rnacentral:rRNA from 1 species